ACCAAAUUAAUUACUUAAGAUCAUUUUAUAUUUUGGCUAAUUACAUAAUGGCCAUAACACAAUUAUAGAAUUAUAUCUGUGACCCAUAAAUUGUCAGAAAUUCCAACAACAAAUCCAUGGCAUAGCAACAUUUUACUGAUUCAGAAUAAGAACAUUGACCUAAUUGCAAAAGGGGGACAUAAAAUUGAAUGUUUACGAAUGCACCAACGUACCAGAUUCUCACCAACAUUGACGUCAAUAGAUGAAACCCUUUGGUUCUUCACCGUUGUGGUUUCUCUUUGAUUUAUUAUUUUAUACAACGCCCUCACAUCACUAUCGUCGAUUCUCCAUCGCUUCCGUCAUUCGCCGCCACCGGAAACUCUCGCUCAGCUCAAUUCAUGACACCACAAUUAUUGGUAAAUAUUUGUAUAAAAUUUACCCAUACAUAUCUUUUCAUGUAUUUUUAGAAUAAUAUCUUUUUGGUAAGCAGUUAAUAAAACUUUGUUAUUUAAG
rnacentral:lncRNA from 1 species